rnacentral:rRNA from 1 species
GAUGAACGCUAGCGGCAGGCCUAACACAUGCAAGUCGAGGGGCAGCAUUUCCAGCUUGCUGGGAGAUGGCGACCGGCGCACGGGUGCGCAACGCGUAUGGAACCUGCCCGCUGCAGGGGAAUAGCCCGGGGAAACCCGGAUUAAUGCCCCGUAGAACCCUUUCGCGGCAUCGCGAAAUGGUUAUAGCCUACGGGCGGCGGCGGAUGGCCAUGCGUACCAUUAGCUUGUUGGUGGGGUAACGGCCCACCAAUGCUACGAUGGUUAGGGGCCCUGAGAGGGGGAUCCCCCACACUGGUACUGAGACACGGACCAG